rnacentral:lncRNA from 1 species
GGCAUGCUCAUAAACCAUCUCAUUGAAUUAUCCCUGAAUUCUAGAUGAGAUUGAAGCAAACGUGUGUCUUUUUUUCUGGCUUCCCAGCAUCUGAUUCCCCUUCCAGUGGCUGGAGAACAUCCCACCUUCUGAGCCUUGGGGAGAAGCAGAGUGUGCCCUUUCCCUGCCCACUGGAGAAGCUGAAACAACAAAAACUCCCUUCCCUGGCCUCCCUGCAGGUGAGAAAGUGGAGUUCGAAGAUGUCAUCAGCCCAGGUCACACAGAUGGUGGAGACCAGUGUGGAGCCCGGGAGUGGGCUGAGCAGAGCAUCUGGACUUUGAGCUUCCAUCAGACCCUGAGAUAGUCACCUGUCCUGGCUGCCUGGUGACCCUGGUGUGCUAACGUGGCACUUAUCUUGCUCUAUGGAGGCCCCUGGGCCCCCUAAACACCAGGUGGGUGCCUUCAGCCAGCCCCAUACUGACCUGUGAAGCCCAGGUAUUGCUGGCCAACCCACCCCACUCACAGACAGAAGCAGUUCUCCAUCUUUUGGCUUUAGCAGAUCUGCUUCAUUUCUCCUCCCCACAAAGCCUGGACUUUGUUCUGGGGGUAUCCCUGUUUGCAGUGAAGCUUUUUCACUCAGUGCUCAAUCUGAGCCCAACUCCACCCCACAUCUCUGAUUCAUAGACUUUUGUGACUGCCUUGACCAGUAGAGUAUGGCAGAAGAUGCUCUGUAACUUCCCAGGCUAGAUCUAGAAAAUGCCACGCAUUUCUGCCUUGCUCUCCUGCGACAUCCACUCUUAGAACCCAGUUGCUGUGCUAAAAAGAACUCACAGACCACGUGGAGUGGAGCAGAUGGGUCAGUGUCCCAGGUGGCAGCCCGUGUCGGCCUCAGACCUGCACGUGAGGAUGCCCACCAGAGGGUUCCUGCCACCACCGUCAAGUCACCCCAGCCUUAAUCUUCCAGCCGGCGCCUCAGGCAUUAUGGGCAGAGGUAAACUGUCUCCAUGAUGCCCUUUCCAAAUUUCUGACCCACAGAAUCCAUGGCUAUAAUAAAAUGGCUGUCUUAUGUGCUCAAUUUUGGGGUGGUUUGUAGCAUAGCAGUAUAACUAGAACAUCUAGCUCGUGAGAGAACCAGCAAAGAAAGCAAAAAUCACCCCAGCCUAUAAAGGGCCCUGAGGGUGGUGGGACCCAUGGGUGACAGGAAACCAAUCCCUGCACCCCAAGAGGUGGCAGGGCCUCCAAC